GCUCCCCAGCCGCCCGCCCACCGCGGGGCAGCGCCGUGCAGCGGGGCCAGGGACGACGUCGCAGCUGGAUGCAGGGGAGAGACUGUUUCACAGCGUUUCACAGCACUCUGUUGUCUGCAUCAACAAAACCCUGCUCCGGACUGACCAGAGGCAAAAGAGAUUGAAUCCCAGAUGCAAGAGCACCUUAUAGAAGCAGAUGCAAUGCUUUGGACUUUUCCCUCACAGCAAAGAUGGUGGCUUCUUCCCCUCCCCUCGGCUGCCCUGGAGCUGGCUGCAGAAUCUCUUCUGUGAUGCACCUCUGGGUUGCAAGUAGGGCAGCUACCAGGGAAGCACAGCCUGCUCACUUGCAAUAAAACCAACACUUGUGCUCGGUCAUUCCAAGUCUUAAUCCCCACCAACAAGAUCCUAGCAACUGCUUUCAGAAAAGAUCUUUAAAAGUGGAAAAGGAAAAGGGUUUUCAGCAGCAGCCACGAGAUUCUUCUGUGUGCGACACCAAGAGGCAGCAGCCAGCUUCAGAAAAGAUGGCACCAGGAGAAAUCAUCACUUUUUGGAGUUUAAUAGUAACCAGCAAAAAAUGCAUGGGCCAAAUGGAGGCACAUAAUCACAGAUCCAUGAGCUGGGGCUAGCUCGACUUGGGAGGGUAGAUGCAGAAGUCAGCACAGGAGCCUCCUUGAAGAGCAGAUACGUCUUUCUGUCCCCUCACCUCGCUGCACUUUGAUAGAAGAAGCUCCCCUGGUUGGAAGCUGCUCUCACACCCCCAUGCGACUUGGCAUGAUGCAAGAACAUGUAUGGCCCACCCUGAGGUGCCCCAGCAGCUAUCCCAAAGGAUGGUGGAGGGGCAGUGAAGUUCUCCAGAGAGUACUAAUCUCUGUUCCUGCUGGCUAUUGACCAUUGCAGCAUGAUCUGGGCUUAUUUUAUAAAGCACUGUAAGACAUCACUUAGCAUUAUGAGGCUAUUCAGUGUGCUAGUUCUUUAUAUGUAUGGGAAAAUCUAUGGUUUAUGUGUAUGGGAAGUACAUACAGUUCACUCCCUCGUGUUCUCCUCUCUCUCUUCCUGUGGCAAAGUUUGCAUUUAGUUUUUAGACAAAAAAGGCAUGCUGCUGGGACCUGUCUCCUGCUGCCUUGUUUAUUCCUCACUGUCUCCCUCUGCCCUCACUCUCUGCCUCAUCAGGCUGCCCCUUGGCUGCCUCUUCACAUUCCUCCAGCCAGGUUUGAUCAUAUCAUCCUCUGUCACGGCUCAUUUGCAAACUGGGGCCUCAUUCUUAAAUAUAACCCUGCCUCCCAAACACAAGGAAAUAUCCCUCCAUUCGCUUUAUCAAUACAUAAAAUUGUCAGCAAUUUUAGGUCUGACCUUUCAGGGCUUCCUAGGUCUAGAAGCAAGUUCUACAUCUCCCAUUGAGUAGCUCCCAUUGCAUAGCUAGAAUCUCCCCCUGAAUUUCUCUGUUCUAAUGCUGCACAACUGGCUCCUUAAAUCUGUCAUGCAGCCAGGAUGCACAUGUUGGGGAGAAAACCAUGUCUGGCAGGCUGCUCUGCAACAUGGCUCCUGUUUGAAACAGCUCUGAGGCCUGAAAUAUUGGCAAGGUGAGGGGUCCGUGUGCAGCAUGUAGGUGACCUGCAUAAAGGUGUGUGAUAAAUUUUGGCUAGGGAGUAGCUGUGCACAUUGACUGCUGGUGUCCAUCCCCAUUCAGAAUAACUCUAAUCAGCAUGAAAAUAAAACAGAUGUCUGGCAUAAUCCCAAGAGGCAAAUAGAUAAGGGUUUCUUAACUUGGCUAGUAAGGAAAAUGUCUCUGAUGUACAGAAAAUAUCUUUGAGAUACAGAUGACUUGAGGAACACAGAUUAUGACACUGAAGAUUGGGGUAGGAGUGUCCACAGGAGAUGGUGGAUUGCAAUCUAGGCUUGGACUGGGGACAGCAUGAAUGCCAUGGAGAACUCCCUGUGUGAUUCACAUAAAAAAAGAGUCCAUAAAUGCAAGUCUCCUCAGCUCAAGCAUGGGUUAACAGUGAAGCGUGAAGAGAGUGCUCAUAGCAGGGAUGAGAGCAGGGCUAGUGCAGGAACGAGGGGCAUCAGCCAGCAACAUUUCAGUCCUGGAGUGCUACAAAUGUCAGGAAGGCUCUGGCGGAAAAGUUAGCCAUUACCCUGUGCAGACAGGGAGGGAGUCAAGUAGUAGGAAGGGUCUUAGGAAUUUUUUUCCCAGCAGCUGGAAAGAGCCCCUAGAGCUCAGGAAUGGGGUGGACUAGGGGCUCUAUGGCUGUUUUGGGGGUGCUGGGAAGAAGUCUUCCACCUGGAGCACUGCCAAGGUUGUGACAGCUAGGAGAAACUAGUAAGGAGACUUGUAUUUGGGCUGACCAGCAGAGUGAGGUAAACAAGGUCCGUGUUGCAGAUACCUUCCUCUCUGCAGUGCUAGCCACUGAACCCCUGGUUCCUCAGAGACGUGUGUCCAAACCAAGGUGUUGUUUCUCUGCUCAACUCUCACCCCUGCCACUCUCACCUUCCCCACCCAUGCACAGCACAUUGCCAAAACAUGUUUUCUUCUGCUCUCUCCUCCAAGCUAUCCAGCUUAGCUCUUGAAUCUGCCUCCUGCUUACCAGUUGUCCCUGUCAAUAGCACAGCAUGCUAUGAAACUAUGUGGGCAGGGGCACAAGAAAGCGCAAUGUGUCACAGGGCACUCAGAGCAAAGGCAGGGUCAAUACCUUCAUUCGGAUAUUCGGCAAAACCCAUACGCCUAUGGAGACACUUCCCUGCCUCUGCUGAGAUCUUACCCUGUCUGCCCCCAGCAGUGGCCCGGUGCCCUGCUGGUGCCACUGCUGCCGCCUGCUCUCUGCUGGUUCAAGCCAGCAGGGAGAGCCCUGGGGCGAGCAGCUGGGCAGGAGAGCUCCUCCCUGGUGCGCCCCGAGGCAUGUGGGACAGCCCCGGGGCAGUGAGGGACUUCAGGACAAGCAGGCAAAUUGGUGACUGUCACACAAACUUUAUGACCUUCCAGCAGCUGUGAUCCAGGAUCAGGUGAAGAGGAUUUUGAAAGCAAGACAAAGAGUUCACCUCCCAUGGUGAUACCCCUGCAGAGCCACUGCAGAUAUGAGGUUAGAGUUACUUUGUUUGCUGAAUUAACCAGGAAUUUGCGAGGCUUGAAGCCAUUAUGUUUUGGUCUGGUUUGUUUUUUUUAGGUUUAUCUCAACAAUCCUUUUUGCCUUUGAAUUUUUGAUAGUGUCUUCUCAAACACAACUCCACUUGAGGGAUGGGAAGAUGUUACGGUGUUAAUAACGUGUCCGUUACUGAUCUCUUUUCUCAGGUAUUGAAAACUUCCCUGAAAUAGGCAUCUUGAGUGAUGAAAAUGUUCCUUAAAAGUAGUCCUGGAAAUUUUUUCUAACUUAUAAUUCAAAUAUAUAAUGAAAACAAUAAUACUUCUAUAUCGUACACCUCCUAAUACUUCUGUAUAGUGCUUCUCUAGGUGCUUCCACUCCUUGGCCUUGAAGAACAGUCUCAAAACCCUUCUUUGGAAUCAUGGCAGGUCCAAUCUGUCCUUUAUACAAGUUCCCUCUUCCUUCCCAGGCUGUUGCCCUUUCUUUGCUCCGUCUUACUUCCCCUUUCCUUUCUCCCCACAUCACCCGGCCACCAGCCAGCUGAGCAGUGUCACCAUGAUCCCGCCCUUUGGAAAAAGAAGGGAUGCUUCACAGAUGGUUUUUCUUCAGACCAAGAGGCUGCUCUCCUUACAAAGAGCAGGAUCCUGGUGACAGCCCUGCAGCGCAGGCUGUACUCUCCCCUUGAACAGGCUACAGUGCAUCACGUCAUGCUCAGAGCGCGCUGCCUCACUCCCUCACCUCUCUCUGUGUCAGGCUUUUCAAGUUUCUGUGAGAAAAAAAAGAAAGCUUUCAUUCUCCAAGGCCUGCGUCCAGUUCGUAUUUUUUUGUGUCACAGGGAAAAUGAUAAGCCAGGAUAUAACAAUGACCUACUUCACGUCUUGAUAAAAUAAUUUCCUCUCUCUGUCAUUUUUCUCAAAGAAUAAUAUUUGACUAACACGAGCAUGAAAGAUAGAGCAAGAGCUUUUCUGUGAACUAACUGAUAAUGGGCCAGAUUCAGCCCUGAGACAGACAACUGCUACCCUAUUGACCUACGUGCAGUUAAGCCUGCUUAUCCCGCAGCUCAGUGCCUGGAAAACAAUAGGGUUAAAACCUGUAAGAUGUGCCUGUGUGAUAUGACUGCUGUGGCCAAAAGCUUCGAGGACAGCAACUAUCUAUCAUGCAUCUGUAAAUAAAUGUGCCCUGAGCCCACCUCCAGCAGUGCCACCAGGGAGCUGCUCUGGCUUGCUACUGUGGUGCACCCGGGCACCCCCUCUGCAAAACAAGCAGUUGGCUCAUCCCCGGGCACAAAAGCCUACUGUGUUUGACAGGGCACAUUACCACAUAGCGCAACCAUGCAGCUCCGAAUCCACUCCCCAGCCCCCCGGACAAAGCGCAGAAACAAUGCAGACACUUGUAGUUGUCUAAUUAGAGCCUAUUUAGCUCAAUAGACUGUAUUUGUCUGCUGAAGGUGUUUAAAAAUUUACACGUGGAAGUUUUUGCUUGCAGCAUUUGCAUGAAGAACUUUCUUAAGUCAAUGUUCACCACUCUUCCAACUGAUCGUCACCCAGUGUGUAUCACUCACUCUGCCAUUUCCCACCUGCAGGAGUUUUUCCUAUGUUUGUGCAACUUUGCUCUCCAUGCCUUCUCAUCACCGGAUUGAUACAGGACAUGGAU